rnacentral:lncRNA from 1 species
AAUAAUAAAAACUACAUUAUGUUUCCUAACAAAGAAUAAAAACGUUCACUUACUAAAAAUUUCUCCUUCAAAAAAAUCAAUUAAUUCUGAUCAACAUGCAUUCUAGUGCAUGUUGACACUCUAUGCUCCUGAUGCCUAUUAAACUUUUGUUGAUCCUGUCUACCUAACAGAUCCUGCAUUGCUGUGGCUGUGGCAUAGGCUUUGAUUCAAUGCCUAGCCUGGGAACUUUCACAUGCCAUGGUUGCAGCCCUGAAAAGCAAAAAAGCAAAAACAAAACAAAACGAAACCUUAGUGCAUUCACUAUAAUCCACAGGUUUGGAUGUUGUAAGAUGACUUAUCAGAUAAGAAUCUGAAUAUCAAAUGAUAUAAGAAGCAUCAAGGAAGUAUACUACCUUUGCCUUUCACUUUAUUUACAGCAUUUCAUGCUUCUAGGGAAAAGAGUACUUAUUAGCUACAAAGCUGUUGAAAUAGGAAAUGGGACACAGUAAGUGCUACAUAGUUACUCAAUGUUGUUGCUGUUUGUAUUAUUUCUAUUGCCAUAGGCUUUCUGGGUCAAAUUAAACAGAAACAAAGAAAAUUAAUAAGGUAUACAUAAAAUAUAAAUUGUAAAGUCAUGAAAGAUAUAAAAUUCCUCCCAUAUAAAAAUUAUCUUCUCUAAUAUUUGACUACCUUUAUUUGAAUAAAGUAAUAAAGUGGCUACUGCUUAUAAGCAUCUUAUUGAUUAGCUAACAUUUUAUCCAAUAAAUGAUAACCUCUACAAAAAUAAAUACAUACAAAAAAGGAAAGAAAUAUAUCUCUUCUCUUAUAGUGAUUUUUGGCCAGUGUGAUUUUAUUGAAGGACAUUCCACUGUCUCAGGUUUCUUAUCUAAACCAUAUAAAUUUGCAAAAUUAUUAAAAUGGGACUGAUUCAUAAAACAAACUCUAAGCUUCAUUUAUCACUUUCAGGAUAUUCUCCCAUGCUUUUUUGAUUAAUACUUUUAUUAGAGGCAUUCAAUACAGAUAAUGCAAAAUUAAAUGGAUUUUGCCAGAAUACAUUAUAGCCAUUAAAAUAAAUCAGACUAUUAAAUGGAGGGAAAAAGUAAAAUCCGAAAAAGAAAUAAAAUUCCAUAUAACUUAUGACAGAGUCAAUUAAUCACACAACUGCAGUUCAAGACCUUUCCUAUAGAAAGAAAGGAAUAAAGGUUCAUUUAAUACUUCAUCAUUAUUGUCACAUUCUCUAAAGAAAAGUCCAUGAGCCAAGCACUAUUCCGUGUCGGACAUGAAGACAAAAUUUUCUUUGUUUUUUCUAACUACUCUUGACUCAAUUACCCCAUGUAGCACUUGCCAGAGACAAUAUGAAAUAAGUGAGAACCAACCCAAAAUUCUACAUUUCAAAAACUGUAUGAAAUAAGCCAUUUGGGAAGAGCUCUUCUCUUUUGUCAUUCUGUCUUCAUUUCUAUGUUGUGCUUCUGAAAACUUUUCUCUAGUGUUCCAUUUCAAAAAAUUGCCUUCAAUUUCCAAUUACUUUAAUAACAAGAUAGAACAUUUACUUGACUUUAAUUAUUGAACUCCACAAGAUUUUUGUCCUUUAAGAUUUCCUCUUAAAUAAUAAAAAAGAUGACAAGAUGAGCACUUUUUUACAAGUAUAAUAGUGCAUUCAAUAUGAAUUCAUAGAAUUGUAAUUAAGUUCAUUUUUACCAAAUACCAAAUGUCUGCCUAUGAAGACUUUUUAAUAUUGUCUAUAUUUUAUGCCAUUUCUGAAAUUUAUUAUUUAUUGAUUUAGUAGAUUUUAGUUGUCAGUUAUAGUUUAGUGAAUUUAAGACAUAAUUGAAAAACUUUUUCUCUGAUAUUGCUCAAUGACAAGUUUAAUCAAUCAAAAAGUUCUACUUCUGACUAUAUGAUUAGAGACUAUUAAGUUUGAAUAGGACAAAAAAUACAUUCCUACACUUACAGAACUUUUAGGAUUGUUGAAACACAAAAGUAAUAUAUAAGAGAUAUACGGAAAUGACAAAUUUUCUGAGAAUUUUGUUGCAGUAGGCAUUAAGGACUAAGAAGAGGAAGGAGGAAGAGGAGGGGGAGGGGAGCUGGAUUUUGACAGACAAGAUACAAGAGGAAACUUUUAGGGCAGUUUCAAAAUUCCAAGAAGAUAAAACUUGAUCCCUAGAAGAAAUACUGAAGGAAAGGGGUGUGUUCGGGAAGAAGAAUGAGUGCUUUAAGUCAGGAACAGUAUAUGCAAUGAGAUAGAGGUAGGCAAACUAAAUAGAAAUAUUCAAGUGCUUAUUACUAAAUAGAUAUCAACUGCCUUUUACUGAAAACUACCUCAUGCAGACAUAGCCUCUGGGAAGCAGCAUAUGUAAUGCUUAAAGAGACAGAUAAUAUUUUCAGAAAUUUGAACUCCUCACAUGAUUCUGUUACUUACCAUGUGUGUUAAAUCAGGCAAGUGAUAAAUCCUUUAAGGAUCAGCCCUUGAAGAAUUGAUACUUGUCUCCAUGUCCCACCUUCCACUUCCUGUAUAGCCCAGUGAUCUCAACAUUUUCAUCCAUGGAAUUUCCAAUGCAUUAGUUUCUCCACAGUCUUUCUUCUUUAACCUGAACUGCUUCAAAAAUCCUAUCUUCCACCUUAUGCACCUACUCCCAUAACUGUAUCUUUGAAUUUAGGAUUAAGACUAUAGUAGUUGUUUUCCCUAAACUCACAAAAUAAGAAAAAUGUAAGCAAAAUGAAGACAUUCAGGAACUAUUCCCAGUUAAAAGAACAGGAGAAUUCCCCUGAAGAAGCAAACAAUGAAACAGAACUCUUCAAUCUAACAGAUACUAAGUUCAAAAAGGAGACAGAUGAUUGGAUUAGCAAGAUGUGGUGUAUAUAUAGACAAUGGAAUACUACUCAGCCAUAAAAAGAAUGAAAUAAUGCCAUUUGCAGCAACAUGGAUGGAACUAGAGAUUCUCAUGCUGAGUGAAGUAAGUCAGAAAGAGAAAGCCAAAUAUCAUAUAAUAUCACUUACAUCUGGAAUGUAAUAUACAGGACAAAUGAACCUUUCCCAUGCUGUACAGAAGAAAAAAAACUGUAUUGGGGAAAUAACAAUUAAAAAAAAGGAGAUAGUGAAAAUACUUAAGAGAUUAAGAGUGAAUAUGAAUCAAGAGUAGAUAUGAAUGCUAACAGAUUAUUUUAGAAAGGAUUAGAAAAUAUAAGGAGCAGCCAAAAAAACAGAAAAUUAAUUUUCAGAGAUAAACCUGAGUUAAAGAUACUGAGGAGUGGAAUGAAUAAGUGACUUGGAAAGACAAAAUACUGGAAAUCACCCAGUCAGGACAACAGACAGAAAACCAAAUGAAAAAAACAUGAAAGCAAUAUAGGAGAUAUGUGGGAUCAUAUAAAGCAGAUCAAUCUAUGCAUAAUAAGGACUACAGAAGGAGAAGAAAAAUAAAAGGGGAUUGGAAAUACAUUUGAAGAAAUUCUGGCUGAAAAUUUUCUAAAUCUAAAGGAUAUAGAUUUAAGAUACAGGAAGCAUAGAGGACCCCAAACAAGUUGAACCCAAACAGACCCACAAUGACACAUAUUAUAAUAAAAAUGAAAAAAAGUUAAACAUAAAGAGAGGAUUCUUAAGGCAG